rnacentral:lncRNA from 1 species
CAAACUGGCUCGUCUGGCAUCUUCUAAAUCAUCUCAAGAAAAGCUCGAAGAUCUGUGUAAAUUUUUCGCCCCUGACCCAUCUUUAUCCGUGGCGCCAAACUUUGCUUGAAUCUAGAAAUUAUUAGUACAGCCGUGGGUUAAAACCUUUUUUAUGGAAACUUAAAUGGAGUAGGAUAUCUUGUAAAGAUUUUUUUAGCAAACCAUGAUAUUAUCGAAGCAAGGGUCUCCCAUUGCGAUCAGUGCC